CCUCUGUCACGCUAAUACGUUAUGUCAGUCUAGGGCACGGAUGUUUCCAUGCAGGCGAUUUUGACAGCAAUCACCAUACCAAGCUAUUAUGAAGUGUGAUGUCAGUGCGUUCUGGAGGACGGAUAAUAUAUAAGCCAGUUCUUGACACGCUAUCUUACAAGGAAACAUCUGAGACCAUCAGGAAGAGGCAUUUUAAUUCACACACCAAAAAUAUUUUGUGUUUGGUUGACAUCUUUCAAAAUGCUGAAAGAGGUCCUUUCAAGCACGGAUCGCAGUGCCCAGUGGUCAAUACCCUUACUUUUAUCCAGUGUCUGCUUCAUUUAAACUUAAUCAACUCCAUCAACGAACUGGAACAGGGAAACGUCCCUGCGGUAAGAAUGUUGUGCUUUUGUGGGAUAAUUCUUUGCUCUUUCCCGAUCCGUUGCCGUUAAACCUAAAAUUGCACUAUGAUGAACUUUUUUUUUUUAAUCAAUAUGAUAAUGACAAUUGGGCCUGAAUGCUCUGGUAGGACUUAGACUUGAGCUGAAUCUGGUUUCCAUCACUAAAACAACUUCUGGUCCUAUGAUAGUCCGCCUCCUUUUGUGUGGCUUUAAUACCUUUUCUUCCCUGACAUUGAAUAUUGCUCAAGCUGGAAAAUGAUGCAUCUUUGUAGGGAAGGCUCAUAUGUCACAGCCAGAAAGUGAAGCAGACCGAUUGGUUGUGUGAAUUAUCUGACUUGCUGCAGUGAAUUAUUUGCACUGUUUCCCUACCUAGUCAACAAGUUCCUGAGGUAUAGUAGAGAUCAAUCAAAACUGACAGCCUGCAUGUGAAGGCUUUACUGUGUAAAUCUGGCGCACUCAUCCUAGCCAUGCCGGCCCUGGCAUCUGUAUAUCAUUUUUAUACUGCUACCAGUAGAGCAAUUUCAAAAGUAUUUGCAAGGAAAAUGCGUGUCCCCAUCUGUUCCUAGAAGCAUAAAUGUGCCACCUUCAGAGGGUUUUCACUGGUAAUCAUAUCUUUAAUGAUCAACAGACUAGUGAUAUAUAUUUUUCCAUAAAAUGGGGUUUUCUUCACUUUAUUGUGAUUGGCUAGAAUAAAUAGCUUUUCCAUAUGUUCGGGAGAUAAAAU
rnacentral:lncRNA from 1 species